rnacentral:rRNA from 1 species
UCAAGCGAUCCUGCGCCGAAAAUGUAACGGGGCUAAAGCCAUUUACCGAAAUUGUGGGCUCGAAAGAGCGGUAGCGGAGCGUUCCGUAAGCCUGCGAAGGUGCACUGCGAGGUGUGCUGGAGGUAUCGGAAGUGAGAAUGUUGACAUGAGUAGCGACAAAGCGGGUGAGAGACCCGCUCGCCGAAAAUCCAAGGGUUCCUGCGUAAAGCUAAUCUGCGCAGGGUUAGCCGGCCCCUAAGGCGAGGCCGAAAGGCGUAGUCGAUGGGAAUCAGGUUAAUAUUCCUGAGCCAGAAGGAUGUGACGGAUUGUGGCGGCGUGCGUUCCUUAUCGGAUUGGAGCGUAUCCAAGACAGUUCCUGGAAAUAGCCCUUCAUGAGACCGUACCCUAAACCGACACAGGUGGAUAGGUAGA